AUGGAAGGUAUUGCCCGCAGGAGGAACGAUUUGGAGAGUUAUCUGGGAAGCCUUGCUAAGAAGUUGUUCGUCAUACUUGAAGAGUUUUGUCGGGACUUCGAGGAAGAGACCGGGCGAAUUAAACCAAGCUUGGACCUAAUCAACUCUCCAGUGAAGGAUGAAGCUGCCAUGAAUGUGCUCCGACUGGAAUCCCGCAUCACUGGUGUUGUUGAUUAUCUCGCCCGACUGAAAGUCACGAUGUCGCGGAUUGACACAGCUCUCUCGCCCAUGGCAACACUUCAUAAUGACCUUGAGUCUAUGAUGGCUCGGCUCAAUGAAGUUCCCAGUCGAAUUCAAGAAUGGAAGAAGUCUUCUGCCCGGUGCGGCGCUGAUGUGGCUCUAUCUCUGGUUCGCGUCCACUGUCGAGAAGCUCGGGAAGAGAAGCUGGCAGCGAUUAAAGUUGCUAACACCAAGAGGCACGACUUCCAGUCCUUCAUGGAGACUUUCAUUGCUGCCGCCACUCGGAUUGCUGACGGGAUCGACCUGGACGAAUUCGUCGAGCCUGCCAGUCCCCCUCCUGCGGAGUGA
rnacentral:rRNA from 1 species